ensembl:lncRNA
CUCCUUUAUAGUCAACCCCCACCACACGUUAUCGUCGUCAUUUUGAAUACCCAAAGGCACUUUUAAGAGCCACGUCCAUCUGUCUGCCUUUCUGUCUGGCUGUCUGUCUAUCUAUCUGCCUGUUUGGCUGUCUAACUGUCUGUCUGCCUAUCUGUCUGUCUGUCUGUCUGUCUGUCUGUCUGUCUGUCUGUCUGCCUGCCUGCCUGCCUGCCUGCCUGCCUGCCUGCCUGCCUGCCUGCCUGUCUGUCUGUCUGUCUGUCUGUCUGUCUGGGUCAGUCUGUUUGUGUUGCAAUGGCCAUGAGACAUACCAUUGACCGCCAGCAUCCCAGCUACAAAGAGGGGAAACGUAAAUUGCUUGAAAGUAAACAAGACCACCUUAUAGCUGAAGCUGAGAGAGCCGUUGAGGAGAGGAAACGUGCGCGUUCUGGUGGAGGACCUCCAUGUGGCUCCACUAGUGACGGUGCAAGACGAGGCAAGCCGAGGGGGAGGCGUGGAGGGCGACGCGGAGGGCGACGCAAAGCCUCAGCCACAGUCACGUUCCCCCCAGCUGAGUGCUCCCCGUCAUCCCAUGAGGACGUUCCGCUUACUGUACCUUCAGCGCAACUGAAUCCUCAAGAGGCAUUUGAAAAGUUUGUGGAGAGGCUUUCAUCUCUAAAUGCCUCUGGUCCUUCUGCCAAGCCUCAAAGAAGCUCUGCAUCUUCAUGGACUUUUCGGCAGCAGAAAGCCUCAGAGCGCUGGACAGAAGCACGACCAAACCACCUACAAGGCCUCAUUGAAAAGGAGGCUGUUGGUCAUCCCUUGUGUUGCCUCUGCCCCAAGCCGGCUGUUAUUAGGUGCAGAGAGUGUCUCCCUGAAGAGUGGUUCUGUGGGGACUGCGAUGUACUGCAUCACAAAAAACAGCCACUCCACAACAGGGAAUGUCUGAUACGUGGGUUCUUUGAACCCAUUCCUCCAACCACACGCGUCAUGAAAGGGGAGGAUGGAUAUUUCACUCAGGAGCAAGCUUGCAUCUUGCCAACUGUGAGUGUGUCAAACUGCGUCUGCGAUGGCACAACCUUCACUGUGUUACCAGGCAAACCAGUGAUUUUAAUUAACAUCAAUGGACGUUAUGACUUGCAUCAGCCACUGUAUGUAUGUCAGACGUGCCAGCAGCAGAGGACCCCUGACAUGAAGCACUUCCUUCAGAGUGGAUAUUGGCCAGCCUCUCUCAAUACUUCCACGUUGUACACGUUGGACCUCUUGAGCUCCUUUCAGGAACUGAAAGUAAUCUCUCCGGGAUUCUCCAGACAGGCCUUCGCAAAGCUCCUGGAGCAUCGCACCAAGUGUGGAGGACGAGUUAGUAUUAUUGUUCUUGGACAUAUUACAACAUUUCUGUGCAUAAGCAGACAACAUCCCAAAUAUUUUUUUAUUCUAUGUAUCUUCCAGUCUGGACAUAUCAAAGGUGACACCCUGCAGCGCAGCUUCUUGGAGUUUUCAUAUGCUUCGUUUGAGAAGGACCAACUCUGCUGUGGUGCUGUUUUCACCUGCACAGCCUGCACACCAGAAAUGUUGGCUGUUUCAGUUGAUGGAAACAGAAAGUUAUAUCGCUUUCGCCGAAAUGGAAGUUCUGGUGACCAUGCCUUUUUUGAAGGUUUAUUUGUGGCUGAAGACUUUGCAGUGUCUGGAUUUGUGGACAUGAUCCAGAAAGCUGUGAAAAAGGCAAGUUUGAAUCGUAAUUUGACAAAAUACUUCUGUUGCUAA